rnacentral:rRNA from 1 species
AUGUCCCAGAAGAAGUCCCGCGGCGGGGCCGCCGCCGGGGACGACGCCGACGAGCUCUCGCGCUCGCCCCUCCAGGCGGUCCUCCUCGCCGACAGCUUCACGCUCAAGUUCCGCCCCAUCACGCUCGAGCGCCCCAAGGUGCUGCUGCCGCUGGUGAACGUGCCGAUGAUCGACUACACGCUGUCCUGGCUGGAGACCUCGGGGGUGGAGGAGGUCUUCGUCUUCUGCAGUGCGCACGCGCAGCAGGUCAAGGAGCACCUGGAGGAGGCCGGCUGGACAGGGAAGCCCGCGGCCCGGGAGAUGGCCGUCACAGCCGUCGAGUCGCACGACGCCAUCAGCGCAGGCGACGCGCUCCGCGUCAUGUAUGGCCGUGGCAUUAUAAAUGGUGAUUUUGUUCUCAUCAGUGGUGAUACAAUCAGCAACAUGAGCUUAAAAGAUGCUCUCCAGGAACACAAGGACAGAAGGAAAAAGGAUCCACUUGCUGUUAUGACUAUGAUUAUAAAGCAUUCAAAACCUUCAAUCCUAACGCACCAGACACGUUUGGGCAAUGAUGAAAUUGUUAUGGCGAUAGCUCCUGAGACAAAGGAGCUACUUUAUUAUGAGGAUAAGGCAGAUAACUCUCACCUGUGUGUGACAAUUGAUAAGGAUAUACUGGCCACUAAUCCUACUCUCCAAUUGCAUAAUAACAUGGAGGAUUGCUAUAUUGAUAUCUGCUCGCCAGAAGUCCUUAGUCUUUUCACCGAUAACUUUGACUAUCAACAUCUCCGACGUCAUUUUGUAAAGGGUUUACUAGUUGACGAUAUUAUGGGGUACAAAAUCUAUACUCAUGAAAUACGCUCCAGCUAUGCUGCAAGAAUAGAUAAUUUCAGGAGCUAUGAUGCGGUGAGCAAAGAUAUAAUACAAAGAUGGACAUACCCUAUGGUGCCUGACGUGUUAUCUUUUGGUAACUGUCAUGAAAUGAAACUUCACCGACAAGGAAUUUACAAGGCAUCAGAUGUUACAUUGUCGCAUUCUGCACAAAUUGGUGCGAAUUCUGUUAUUGGCAAUGCGACAAGUAUUGGAGAGCAGUGCAAGAUAUCAAAUUCGGUAAUUGGGGAAGGUUGCAGUAUUGGUAAAAACGUUCUCAUUCACGGUUCCUAUAUAUGGGAUAAUGUCAUAAUUGAAGAUGGGUGCAAAGUGAGUAACUCCUUAGUCUGUGAUGAUGUUCAUCUAAAGGCAGGGGCAAUUGUUGAGCCUGGCUGCAUACUGUCAUUUAAGAUUAAAGUUGGAAAGAAUGUCGUUGUCCCUGCCUAUUCAAAAGUGUCACUACUUAACAAGCCUUCAAAUGAAGAUAGUGACGAGGAACUUGAGUAUGCUGACACUAAUUCUGGAAUUACAGAUAGUCCUCCCUUUUCCAUCUCAAAGAGUAAUGCCGACCACCCGACCAUCAUAUGUGAAGAUGAUGACUUAGGGGCAUCUGAGACUGGUACCUCUGGCGUCCUUGGUUACAUAUGGGCAAGCGGUGAUACUGGAAUUCAGGACGAGUGGAGACAAUCAAUUGCUCCGAUUCCUAAAGAAAAGCUUCAAGAGUUGCAGCAUGCUGUAUCUUUUGACGAUGAUGAAGGAUCAGAAGAAGACUUGAACAACCGUCCAUCUGAAGCAGACCGUGACAAUGAUUCUGAGAUCAGUGUGGUUGAGGAUGAUGAUUAUACUAAGUUUGAGAAAGAAGUCGAAGAGACGUUCCAGCGGGCACUUGAUGGGGUUCAUCAAGAUAAUUUGAUACUAGAAAUCAAUGCGCUCAGGUUAUCUUAUAGCCUUCAACACGCUGAUUGUGCUGGAGCAGUUUUCUAUUCGAUCAUGAGGGGUGCAUUAGUCGCUGCACAAUCUACUAAUGAUAAUCUUCUAAAGACAACUGCCGACGCACUUGCCAAGUGGAAGGAUCUUUUACGCAAUUACACCAAGACAGUUGAUGAGGAGAUGGAAAUACUAUUGAAGUUUGAGGAAAUGUGCCAAGAUAUCACAAAAGAAUUUUCUCCACUGUUCUCAAAGGUCUUGCCUUACCUCUAUGAUAAGGACGUAGUCAGUGAAGAUGCAAUUUUGAGAUGGGCGGAAGAAAAAGAAAAUGCUGACGAGUCCGAUAAAGUUUUUGUUAAACAAUCUGAUGCUUUUAUUAAGUUUUUCAUGAUCUCAAACCUUCCGUCAGAGGGAAUGAUUCAAACCGCGUGUCUUGUAUUUAUAAUAGCUCCUGGCACGAUGGUGGUUGUAUUUCCGGCACUGGGUUUGUGCCAUCUGUUGUGCUGGCAGAACAAAGUCUCAAACAUGAUGAUUGGCUCAAGGAAGCUGAAGAGGAGGAAGACGACGAGGAUGACGAUGAAGAAGAGUAGAGUCGGAGAGGAGCGCAGCGUUGUGCAACCUGGGUGGUUUCCCGGGUGGGCGUCAGCUUGA